AAAGCCUCAUGGUUAAAUGUAGGGACUCAGCUAUGAUGUAUAAGAGUAAGGAUCUAGCAGUUUUCAUGGUAAAUAAGGUGGGGGCUAUCAGGUGAUGCUCUCUGAGGAAAUACUGGAAGAAGACUGAGAAGUUGCAGCUUUGGCAGAGGUAACAACACGCUUAGGAUCCCCAUUCUUUGUCUUCAUUGUCACAAAAGGAAAUUAAAACAUCCAUCUGGAAUAUGGCAGAUCAUCUGAAACCUGCUCCUGGGAGGCUUUGACAACGACAUUUAAAAAAAGAAAACGGGAG